rnacentral:rRNA from 1 species
UUUAAAGAGAGUUUGAUCCUGGCUCAGGACGAACGCUGGCGGCGUGCCUAAUACAUGCAAGUCGAACGAACGGAGGAAGAGCUUGCUCUUCCAAAGUUAGUGGCGGACGGGUGAGUAACACGUGGGCAACCUGCCUGUAAGUUGGGGAUAACUCCGGGAAACCGGGGCUAAUACCGAAUGAUAAAGUGUGGCGCAUGCCACGCUUUUGAAAGAUGGUUUCGGCUAUCGCUUACAGAUGGGCCCGCGGUGCAUUAGCUAGUUGGUAGGGUAAUGGCCUACCAAGGCAACGAUGCAUAGCCGACCUGAGAGGGUGAUCGGCCACACUGGGACUGAGACACGGCCCAGACUCCUACGGGAGGCAGCAGUAGGGAAUCUUCCGCAAUGGACGAAAGUCUGACGGAGCAACGCCGCGUGUAUGAAGAAGGUUUUCGGAUCGUAAAGUACUGUUGUUAGAGAAGAACAAGGAUAAGAGUAACUGCUUGUCCCUUGACGGUAUCUAACCAGAAAGCCACGGCUAACUACGUGCCAGCAGCCGCGGUAAUACGUAGGUGGCAAGCGUUGUCCGGAUUUAUUGGGCGUAAAGCGCGCGCAGGCGGUCUUUUAAGUCUGAUGUGAAAGCCCCCGGCUUAACCGGGGAGGGUCAUUGGAAACUG